rnacentral:rRNA from 1 species
UACGAGUGCCCCAAGCGUUAUCCGGAAUCAUUGGGCGUAAAGGGUGUGUAGGUGGCGUUGUUAGUCUUCUGUUAAAAUCUUGGGCUUAACCCAAGACUUGCAGUGGAAACGGCAAUGCUCGAGGAUGCGAGGGGUGAAUGGAACUCAUGGAGUAGAGGUGAAAUCCGUUGAUAUCAUGGGGAACACCAAAAGCGAAGGCAAUUCACUGGCGCAUUCCUGACACUGAAACACGAAAGCGUGGGUAGCGAACGGG